GUGAUUAAUUUAUAUGCGAUAGAAAUAUUAUUUCUAUUAUUUACUAGAAGUCGAGAAAUUAUUCCGACUGCAACGCAGAUUAAAUAUACGGAUUUAAUCUAGAUAUUAAAUGGCUUGUGAAGUGAAUUAAAUCUACUUAUUUAAUUUAUACAUGAAUAAUGAGCAUAAGCCAAUAUUUGAUUGCAAACACGCGAUUAAAUAGUAGAUGCACUGAGUAACCAAGACACAAAGAUUUAUUAUUAUUUACAAUUAGAACUUCAACCACCACUAUCAAUCAAUGCAGUAAUUGAUUUUUUUUCUGAGUACAAGAAGAAAUCUUUGCAUAUAAGCUCACCACUGGCAGCAAGAGUGACGCAGUACAUUUGGGUAAAAAAAUAAAACUCUCGAAUUUGCUGGCUUUAGGAGGAAGAUCAUGCUUAAGACAAUCAUCUUCCACUAUCUAAUUAUUUAUCAACCACUACCUCCACUUAACAAAAAUGAGACCUACGCACUAGCCUGCACCACCACCCUUUUUCUCCACCAAACUUUCCACUUACUUCAUUCCUUCUCUCAUACACCAAGCACCAGAAAGGGAGAUGAAGUUCCUGCUGCCAACUGCCAAGUAUCGAGAGUUUCUUCUCCAUUGAAUUCAUUAUCAACAACAGCAGCUACCAACACAAAAUACUCAAGGUCAAGCGCGAGAGUAAGAACUACACAAGGAGUUAGAGUACCUUAGCAAAACUUUGCUAUCAGGUUGAGCUGUGAUGGGCGAUGAAGUGUUGUUGCUGAGUAGAGUUUUUGUCGAAUUUAAAGUAGGCUCAGAAAGGAUACAUGUCUUCAUACAUGUAUCUCAGUUAUGCAUUCCGCUGUAAACACUGAUUAUUUCAGUUACACCUUCCGUUGCAAACUCUGAUAAUGUUUUAGCCAAGCCCCUAAAAAUGCCUUUUUCCUUUUAAGGAAUAUAACGCGUAUACAAGUUCUUUGA